AAAAAUGUAUUUUAUAAAAUUAAUUGAUUAUAAGUUAUGUUCUUUAAAAUUAAAUAUUUUGGCGGUAUUUUAGUCUAUUCAGAGGAACCUGUUCUUUAAUUGAUAGUCCACGAUUGGAUUUACUUUUGUUAGAAAUUUUUAUAUCAUCGUUAUUAAAUAUUUUUUAAAAAUUUUAAUAUUUAAUUUAUUUUAUAAGAUUAAAAUUCAGAUCAAGGUGAAGUUUAUAUAAAAGUAGAAAUGGGUUACAUUAAAUUUAUUUUUAGUAAAAAAAAUUUAAUUUUUUUUUUAAAUUGGAUUUGAAAGUAAUUAAUUAAACAUUUUUUUAAUGAUUUAGCUCUAAAAUAUGU
rnacentral:rRNA from 1 species